rnacentral:misc_RNA from 1 species
AAAAAACAGAGCAAAAAAAUGGCUUCUUAUUUUAGAGUUUUUCUUUUCUUAGCCUUUUUUGUUGCUUCUUCUAUAGCUCAAUCUCCGGCUCCGGCACCUAAAAUUUCUCCGGCAGCAACUCCAACUCCGGCGCCGGCACCAGUAUUAUCACCGCCGACCGCAACUCCAACUCCAUCUCCAACUCCGACACCAACUCCGGCACCUUCUA